rnacentral:rRNA from 1 species
AUUGAACGCUGGCGGCAUGCUUUACACAUGCAAGUCGAACGGUAACAGGCCUUCGGGCGCUGACGAGUGGCGAACGGGUGAGUAAUGCAUCGGAACGUGCCCAGUCGUGGGGGAUAACGCAGCGAAAGCUGUGCUAAUACCGCAUACGAUCUAUGGAUGAAAGCGGGGGACCGUAAGGCCUCGCGCGAUUGGAGCGGCCGAUGUCAGAUUAGGUAGUUGGUGGGGUAAAGGCUCACCAAGCCAACGAUCUGUAGCUGGUCUGAGAGGACGACCAGCCACACUGGAACUGAGACACGGUCCAGACUCCUACGGGAGGCAGCAGUGGGGAAUUUUGGACAAUGGGCGCAAGCCUGAUCCAGCAAUGCCGCGUGCAGGAAGAAGGCCUUCGGGUUGUAAACUGCUUUUGUACGGAACGAAACGGCGAGCUCUAAUACAGUUUGCUAAUGACGGUACCGUAAGAAUAAGCACCGGCUAACUACGUGCCAGCAGCCGCGGUAACAC